rnacentral:rRNA from 1 species
GAUGAACGCUGGCGGCGUGCUUAACACAUGCAAGUCGAACGGAAAGGCCCAAGCUUGCUUGGGUACUCGAGUGGCGAACGGGUGAGUAACACGUGGGUGAUCUGCCCUGCACUUCGGGAUAAGCCUGGGAAACUGGGUCUAAUACCGGAUAGGACCACUUCUUGGAUGUUGUGGUGGAAAGUUUUUUCGGUGUGGGAUGAGCUCGCGGCCUAUCAGCUUGUUGGUGGGGUAAUGGCCUACCAAGGCGUCGACGGGUAGCCGGCCUGGGAGGGUGUACGGCCACAUUGGGGCUGAGGUACGGCCCAGACUCCUACGGGAGGCAGCAGUGGGGAAUAUUGCACAAUGGGCGCAAGCCUGAUGCAGCGACGCCGCGGGGGGGAUGACGGCCUUAGGGUUGUAAACUCCUUUCGCUAGGGACGAAGCGUUUUGUGACGGUACCUGGAGAAGAAGCACCGGCUAACUACGUG